rnacentral:other from 1 species
AGUUCUGUGGGCUGAUGACAAAAGUAAACCCUGUAAGAACAAAUUUGGGGGCUGUCCCUGGCAAUGGUGUGCAAGCUCACCUUAAGUGAGUGAGAAGCCUAAAGUUGCUACCACGGUCACCCACCUUGAUGAAAACGGGUUUACUGGAUCACUCAUGCCCGCAGACUUU